GCUUUGGUGCCUCUGCCACCGGAGCCGGCGUCGUUGUUUCCGGUUCCUUCACCGGAGUUUCAACAACCGCCGGAGCCGGAGCCGGAGCAGCUUCUUCUUCCUUUUUCACUUCUUCCACAGGCUUCUUCUCCUCCUCCUUCUCUACCUCCGGUUUCUUUUCCUCCACGACCGCGGUUGUAACGGUCUCUUCUUUCUUGGGCUUUUCAACAAUCUCCUUCUCUUUCUCACCACUUGUUUCUUCGGUUUUGGCUGGUUCUUCGGUUUUGGCUGGCUCUUCCGUUUUGGCUGGUUCUUCGGUUUUGGCUGUCUCCACCGGUACUUCUCGUGUCUUUACCUCCUCAGGAAGGAACACACAUACCUUCUCGAAUAUGAAUGUUAUUGGUCCUGCGACAUAGCCAGCUCCAAAGCUAGAUGAAGCGUCUUUCACAGCCGUUGAUCCGGGGAAUUCUGAAUUUACAUUUCAUUAAACACAAAGAUAAGUAAAUUCACUACUUUCAUCUAAUGAAAUCUAGGAAGAAGAAAAGUGAUCCAAUUAAUGAAAAAAUUUGUUUCUAAUAAUAUGAUGAGGCUUGACCUAAGGUUUUCGAAUUAGUGAAAUAUGACGAGACAUACGACGACUAGUAGUUCAAUAUAAUAGAAAAAUGUAAUAAUAUGUUAUCUCAAUAAUUUAUUAAAGAUGUUCACAACUAUGAGAUAUACAUAACUUAAUUAAUAUAUAUCUUUGAUUCCACGAUAAGAAAAAAUAUGUGAUCUAAACUCGAGAUAUAGAUGCGUAUAUAAGAAUAUAAGACACGAUAGGAAUCCAAAGUUUCUGCCAGCAAAUAUUUGAGGAAAAGUCAAUAACUAUAUAUAGAAGACCAAACAGAUAAGUUCGUAUAAGACAAGCCAAUUUGUAGUUGUUUUUUUUUUUUUUUUGAGCAAAAGACAAGCAAAUAUUGUUGUCGGGGUAUUUAUAAUAGGCACAUGACUAAGUGUAAUUGAAUCGUUACCAAUAUUGACAAGCGCCUCGAGAUACUUCUGCACAGCCGCUGAGUUUUUCUUCAAACCAGCCUCCUUAGGGUCUCUCACCAAAGCCUGCCCAUUUUAAUUUUAAUCUUAAUACCAAUGUUACAUAAAAAUAUGGAUUUGGAUAAUGAUUGAAAUAACCAUUAAAUUAGAGAAUUAAAGAAAAUGAAGAUACUGACCUUGACUUCAGCAGACGUGGCCUCAUAGGUUUCCACGACCUUUGGUUGGAGUUCUGUCUUUUUCUC
rnacentral:lncRNA from 1 species